GUUGCAUUUCAUCUUCAGACAUAACCCCCUGUGACUCAGUUUACGGGAAGAAAAGGGCAAAGAAACCCUGAGACUUAGGGGACAUGUCCACCCCUAAGACCCCUAUUGAACAAGCACUAAUAGAGGUAACUGGGCAAGGGCAAUGGGAGAAAACCACAGCUUUCUGGACCUCAUAUUGGUAACCCCCAUCUUUAUGGGAUUAAAAACACCUAUAGGACAAUAGAGAGGGGGACUCAUCUUCCCCCUCCCAGCUGUCCUGGGAGCUGUUUGCUUUCCUGUAAUAAAGACUUUGCUUGCUUGCUGCCUGUGUGUUCUCAAAAUUCAUUCUUUGGCUCUGUGAACAAGAACCUGGAUUUGGUAACAUCUUUCUGGCAUCAAUACCAUAAUUGGUAAUGACACAUGUAUGAAGAAAAUGCACAGGUUGUUCCUGUCGUGGCUCAGCAGUCACAAACCUGACCAGUACCCAGGACCUGGCUUGAUCCCUAUACUUGCUCAGGAGGUUAAGGAUCUGGCAUUGCCACGAGCUGUGUGUGGUGUAGAUCACAGAUGCAGCUCAGAUCUGGAGUUGCUGUGGCUGUGGCUAGGCUGGCAGCUGUAGCUCUGAUUCAACCCCUAGCCUGGGAACCUCCAUGUGUGGCCCUAGAAAGUAAACAACAACAAAAAAAAGUUGGGGUAAGAGAGAAUUCACUGUCUCUGCCUGACUGCUCUCAAACGAGGGCAUUAGUCUUCUGCUUCUGGACUGGAACUUACACUUUUGGUUCUUCGGAUUCUCAGGACUUUGAACUCAUUCUGGAACUACACCACUGGCUCUCCUGGAUCUCCAGCUUACAGACACAUCAUGGACUUCUCAGCCUCCAUAAGCAUAAUUCCAUAUUGUUUUUUUUGGUGGAAGACUCAAGAGGAGACAGAGGCCACUUCUCUCUAUGCAGAGGUAGUCCCUGAAUGGGAGACUUAGAGCAUUCACAGUUCAAUCAAAUGUACAACUGACGGCAGUAACACACGGAUGUGAAAGCCACAAAAUAUUAGUACGCUGAAUCCAUUUAGAGGGUCCCCCUACAGCUCAUUUUAAUUUUCCUUUCCUAUUGCAAAUUUUGUCCAAAC